GAUGAACGCUGGCGGCGUGCCUAAUACAUGCAAGUCGAGCGAACAGACGAGGAGCUUGCUCCUCUGACGUUAGCGGCGGACGGGUGAGUAACACGUGGAUAACCUACCUAUAAGACUGGGAUAACUUCGGGAAACCGGAGCUAAUACCGGAUAAUAUAUUGAACCGCAUGGUUCAAUAGUGAAAGACGGUUUUGCUGUCACUUAUAGAUGGAUCCGCGCCGCAUUAGCUAGUUGGUAAGGUAACGGCUUACCAAGGCAACGAUGCGUAGCCGACCUGAGAGGGAGAUCGCCCACACGGGAACUGAGACACGGUCCAGACUCCUACGGGAGGCCCGAGUGGGGAAUCUCCCGCAAGGGGCGAAGGCCUGCCGGCGCAACGCCGCGUGAGUGAUAAAGGUCUUCGUAUCGAAAAACUCUGUUAUGGGGGAAAAACAAAUGUGAAAGUAACUAUGCACGUCUUGACGGUACCUAAUCAGAAAGCCACGGCUAACUACGUG
rnacentral:rRNA from 1 species